AUGCUUUACACAUGCAAGUCGAACGGCAGCACGGACUUCGGUCUGGUGGCGAGUGGCGAACGGGUGAGUAAUGUAUCGGAACGUAUCCAGUAAUGGGGGAUAACUAAUCAAAAGGUUGGCUAAUACCGCAUACGCCCUACGGGGGAAAGCAGGGGAUCUUCGGACCUUGCGUUAAUGGAGCGGCCGAUAUCUGAUUAGCUAGUUGGUGAGGUAAGAGCUCACCAAGGCGACGAUCAGUAGCUGGUCUGAGAGGACGACCAGCCACACUGGAACUGAGACACGGUCCAGACUCCUACGGGAGGCAGCAGUGGGGAAUUUUGGACAAUGGGCGCAAGCCUGAUCCAGCCAUUCCGCGUGAGUGAAGAAGGCCUUCGGGUUGUAAAGCUCUUUCGCAAGGGAAGAAACGAUGCAGACGAAUAAUCUGUGUUAAUGACGGUACCUUGAUAAGAAGCACCGGCUAACUACGUGCCAGCAGCCGCGGUAAUACGUAGGGUGCAAGCGUUAAUCGGAAUUACUGGGCGUAAAGCGUGCGCAGGCGGUUUUGUAAGUCAGAUGUGAAAUCCCCGAGCUCAACUUGGGAACUGCGUUUGAAACUACAAGACUAGAAUAUGUCAGA
rnacentral:rRNA from 1 species